rnacentral:rRNA from 1 species
UUAAGCGACUAAGCGUACACGGUGGAUGCCCUGGCAGUCAGAGGCGAUGAAGGACGUGCUAAUCUGCGAUAAGCGUCGGUAAGGUGAUAUGAACCGUUAUAACCGGCGAUUUCCGAAUGGGGAAACCCAGUGUGUUUCGACACACUAUCAUUAACUGAAUCCAUAGGUUAAUGAGGCGAACCGGGGGAACUGAAACAUCUAAGUACCCCGAGGAAAAGAAAUCAACCGAGAUUCCCCCAGUAGCGGCGAGCGAACGGGGAGCAGCCCAGAGCCUGAAUCAGUGUGUGUGUUAGUGGAAGCGUCUGGAAAGGCGCGCGAUACAGGGUGACAGCCCCGUACACAAAAAUGCACAUGCUGUGAGCUCGAUGAGUAGGGCGGGACACGUGGUAUCCUGUCUGAAUAUGGGGGGACCAUCCUCCAAGGCUAAAUACUCCUGACUGACCGAUAGUGAACCAGUACCGUGAGGGAAAGGCGAAAAGAACCCCGGCGAGGGGAGUGAAAAAGAACCUGAAACCGUGUACGUACAAGCAGUGGGAGCACGCUUAGGCGUGUGACUGCGUACCUUUUGUAUAAUGGGUCAGCGACUUAUAUUCUGUAGCAAGGUUAACCGAAUAGGGGAGCCGAAGGGAAACCGAGUCUUAACUGGGCGUUAAGUUGCAGGGUAUAGACCCGAAACCCGGUGAUCUAGCCAUGGGCAGGUUGAAGGUUGGGUAACACUAACUGGAGGACCGAACCGACUAAUGUUGAAAAAUUAGCGGAUGACUUGUGGCUGGGGGUGAAAGGCCAAUCAAACCGGGAGAUAGCUGGUUCUCCCCGAAAGCUAUUUAGGUAGCGCCUCGUGAAUUCAUCUCCGGGGGUAGAGCACUGUUUCGGCAAGGGGGUCAUCCCGACUUACCAACCCGAUGCAAACUGCGAAUACCGGAGAAUGUUAUCACGGGAGACACACGGCGGGUGCUAACGUCCGUCGUGAAGAGGGAAACAACCCAGACCGCCAGCUAAGGUCCCAAAGUCAUGGUUAAGUGGGAAACGAUGUGGGAAGGCCCAGACAGCCAGGAUGUUGGCUUAGAAGCAGCCAUCAUUUAAAGAAAGCGUAAUAGCUCACUGGUCGAGUCGGCCUGCGCGGAAGAUGUAACGGGGCUAAACCAUGCACCGAAGCUGCGGCAGCGACGCUUAUGCGUUGUUGGGUAGGGGAGCGUUCUGUAAGCCUGCGAAGGUGUGCUGUGAGGCAUGCUGGAGGUAUCAGAAGUGCGAAUGCUGACAUAAGUAACGAUAAAGCGGGUGAAAAGCCCGCUCGCCGGAAGACCAAGGGUUCCUGUCCAACGUUAAUCGGGGCAGGGUGAGUCGACCCCUAAGGCGAGGCCGAAAGGCGUAGUCGAUGGGAAACAGGUUAAUAUUCCUGUACUUGGUGUUACUGCGAAGGGGGGACGGAGAAGGCUAUGUUGGCCGGGCGACGGUUGUCCCGGUUUAAGCGUGUAGGCUGGUUUUCCAGGCAAAUCCGGAAAAUCAAGGCUGAGGCGUGAUGACGAGGCACUACGGUGCUGAAGCAACAAAUGCCCUGCUUCCAGGAAAAGCCUCUAAGCAUCAGGUAACAUCAAAUCGUACCCCAAACCGACACAGGUGGUCAGGUAGAGAAUACCAAGGCGCUUGAGAGAACUCGGGUGAAGGAACUAGGCAAAAUGGUGCCGUAACUUCGGGAGAAGGCACGCUGAUAUGUAGGUGAGGUCCCUCGCGGAUGGAGCUGAAAUCAGUCGAAGAUACCAGCUGGCUGCAACUGUUUAUUAAAAACACAGCACUGUGCAAACACGAAAGUGGACGUAUACGGUGUGACGCCUGCCCGGUGCCGGAAGGUUAAUUGAUGGGGUUAGCGCAAGCGAAGCUCUUGAUCGAAGCCCCGGUAAACGGCGGCCGUAACUAUAACGGUCCUAAGGUAGCGAAAUUCCUUGUCGGGUAAGUUCCGACCUGCACGAAUGGCGUAAUGAUGGCCAGGCUGUCUCCACCCGAGACUCAGUGAAAUUGAACUCGCUGUGAAGAUGCAGUGUACCCGCGGCAAGACGGAAAGACCCCGUGAACCUUUACUAUAGCUUGACACUGAACAUUGAGCCUUGAUGUGUAGGAUAGGUGGGAGGCUUAGAAGUGUGGACGCCAGUCUGCAUGGAGCCGACCUUGAAAUACCACCCUUUAAUGUUUGAUGUUCUAACGUUGACCCGUAAUCCGGGUUGCGGACAGUGUCUGGUGGGUAGUUUGACUGGGGCGGUCUCCUCCUAAAGAGUAACGGAGGAGCACGAAGGUUGGCUAAUCCUGGUCGGACAUCAGGAGGUUAGUGCAAUGGCAUAAGCCAGCUUGACUGCGAGCGUGACGGCGCGAGCAGGUGCGAAAGCAGGUCAUAGUGAUCCGGUGGUUCUGAAUGGAAGGGCCAUCGCUCAACGGAUAAAAGGUACUCCGGGGAUAACAGGCUGAUACCGCCCAAGAGUUCAUAUCGACGGCGGUGUUUGGCACCUCGAUGUCGGCUCAUCACAUCCUGGGGCUGAAGUAGGUCCCAAGGGUAUGGCUGUUCGCCAUUUAAAGUGGUACGCGAGCUGGGUUUAGAACGUCGUGAGACAGUUCGGUCCCUAUCUGCCGUGGGCGCUGGAGAACUGAGGGGGGCUGCUCCUAGUACGAGAGGACCGGAGUGGACGCAUCACUGGUGUUCGGGUUGUCAUGCCAAUGGCACUGCCCGGUAGCUAAAUGCGGAAGAGAUAAGUGCUGAAAGCAUCUAAGCACGAAACUUGCCCCGAGAUGAGUUCUCCCUGACUCCUUGAGAGUCCUGAAGGAACGUUGAAGACGACGACGUUGAUAGGCCGGGUGUGUAAGCGCAGCGAUGCGUUGAGCUAACCGGUACUAAUGAACCGUGAGGCUUAACCUU